AUUGAACGCUGGCGGCAGGCCUAACACAUGCAAGUCGAACGAGUGGCGGACGGGUGAGUAAUGUCUGGGAAACUGCCUGAUGGAGGGGGAUAACUCCUGGAAACGGUAGCUAAUACCGCAUACCAUCAGAUGUUCCCAGAUGGGAUUAGAUAGUAGGUGAGGUAACGGCUCACCUAGGCGACGAUCCCUAGCUGGUCUGAGAGGAUGACCAGCCACCCGGGACCUGAAACACGGUCCGGCCUCCUACGGGAGGAAGCAGUGGGGAUUUUUGCACAAGGGGCGCAAGCCUGAUGCAGCCAUGCCGCGUGUAUGAAGAAGGCCUUCGGGUUGUAAAGUACUUUCAGCGGGGAGGCGUUACCCGCAGAAGAAGCACCGGCUAACUACGUGCCAGCAGCCGCGGUAAUAC
rnacentral:rRNA from 1 species